rnacentral:misc_RNA from 1 species
UCCGCGUUAUUCGCGGCAGUCUCUCUAGAGGGCCCAACUGAAUGAUGGCAACUAGAAACGAGGGUUGCGCUCGUUGCGGGACUUAACCCAACAUCUCACGACACGAGCUGACGACAGCCAUGCAGCACCUGUGUCCAGGUUCCCUUUCGGGCACCCCUGCAUUUCUGCAGGGUUCCUGGCAUGUCAAGGGUAGGUAAGGUUUUUCGCGUUGCAUCGAAUUAAACCACAUCAUCCACCGCUUGUGCGGGCCCCCGUCAAUUCCUUUAUGUUUUAGUCUUGCGACCGUACUCCACAGGCGGGAUACUUAACGCGUUAGCUUCGCUACUGAAGGGGUCGAUACCGAAUACGGCUAGCAUCCAUAGUUUACGGCGUGGACUAC